rnacentral:lncRNA from 1 species
AAAAUUUAAAAUAAUUAUAAUUAAAUUUAUUUUUAACUAAUAUAUUUUUGAUAUAUUUUUUAAAUUAUUAUAAUUAUAUAUUUUUUAAAAUUUGAACCUAUCUUUGAAAUUAGAACGGGGCCUCUGAAAUGAUCGGGCCGACCCUGAUUCAAUCAAACAUCAAACUUUAAUAUAUACUAAAAAAAGAAAAUGUAAGUCCGAGACCCAAAAUACAAAACCUCAUACAAUAAGAUAUGAGGUAAUUAUUUAUUAAAUUUCCAUAAUUAUAAGCAAUCAUCUUGACUUAUAAAAAGGUCAUUAUUCUGAUGCUCAUUUAAUCCACAAACUAUACAACAUGAGCAUGUGUGUGUAUUAACAGUAGUGUCACAUCUACAACGACGAGCCUGAGCACCUUUAAACCUUGCAUUAAAUUCAGCAUUGCAGUCACGUUGUGCAUGCAGACAGUCACCACUCAAUCCUGUAAGAACCUUAGGGCAAUAUUUGAUAUUGGGUUCUAUACCUACAUGAACAACAUUAUAGAAAAAAUAUCAACAAAAAAAAAUAUAUCAAAAUAAUAAUAAUAAUAAUAAUAAUAUACCAGAUCCAUGGCUAUGGUUGAAGAGAGCAAUCAAAGCAGCAACAAGUAGGAGAAUGCUUCCUAGCUUCAUGAUGUUAUUAACACCCUCAGUAAGUAUUAUCAAAUAGAACUUUGAAAAUGUUGGAACAAUGUAAGAGAAAUGGAAUAUAUAUAUAUAUAUAUAUAUAUAUAUAUAUAUUAUAUAUUAUAUAUAUAUAUAUAUAUAUAUAUAUAUAUAUAUAUAUAUAUAUAUAUAUAUAUAUAUAUAUAUAUAUAUAUAUACUAGAGUUCACUUUAUAUUAAUAAUUAAUACCUUUUGACUUUAUUUAUAAAGUUAUAUCUAUGAAUUUAAAACUACUAUAAAGAUUGGUAAUUUCUGUGGAUUUUAUAAAGAGACACAUGUAUUUAGAUAGUGAUAGCAACAACAAAAAACUCCUUUUUAAAUUAUGAAAAAAAAAUGUUUAAAAAUAAAACUAGUUUUUAAAUAUUUUUAUUUAACUUAUUCAUUAAAUAUGCCAAAUUAUCAAAGUUUAGUAAUUAUUAUUAUAGGACAAAACUAUAUAUUAUUUAUGUGAAAGCUUAAAUGUAUUAAUAAAAUAUUGAUUGUACAAUUUGUUGGGUAUUUAAAUAAUAUAUUUAAAAUAUUGAGUUUUUCUUUUAACAUAAAUACAAAAUAUUUACCACAGUUUAUAUUUUUAAAUGUCAAGUAUCAUAUAAUAUAAAAUAGCAUUAAAUAUAUAUUUUGGUUCUCCUAAAUCUUCAAAAAAAAUAUUUUUAAUUUUUUAAAAUAUUUUUUUAAAUAAUAGGCCUUCUAAAUUUUUCAUCCAUACUUUUGAUCUCUUUAUAAAAUAGGUCUUCUAAAAUUUUUAUAUUUAAUUUUUAAAUUCAUUUUUAAUAAAUCGAAAGACUAAUUGACAUCAUAUAACAUAAAUACACAUUUUUGAAGAUUAAAACAUAGUUAAAAUUGCAAUCUAUCUAUAUAAAGAUAAUGUAUUAUGAUAAAUAUCUUCUUAUCUUAUCUUCUAACUCUGCCACAUCACCAAUUUGAGGGUAUUUAUUUUCCAAAACUUGAUUUUCACAACCAAACCAUGCUACCUGUUACUUUGCAAUUACAAAUUACAUAACCAAACCAUACUACCUAUUACUUUGCAAUUACAAAUUACAUAUUUUUGUUGAGAAUGUAUCAAGUGUGAGUAGUGUGGGUAAUAGUCUCAUAUUGGUUGGAAAUGUGGAGACUUGAGCAUUUAUAAGUGAGAAAACUCACUCACCUAUUACCUUAAGGUUUUGGGUGAAUAUGUGGUUUGUCUCUCACAAAGGUGUUGCUCAAUAAAGAAGAAGUCUAACAAUGUUCAAUGCUACCUAGUGAAAAAUUGCCCCCAACAAAUGGUAUUAUGAGUCUUUGUUUCGAGAAAGGGACCGACUUACUUGUAUCGAAAGUCAACGGCAUCAAUGUGGUGAAUAAGAAACGUUCCGUUGAAGAGUGUCAACGACGCCAGUAUGGUGAAUAAGAAACGUUCAGUGCGGUACAAGAGUUUGUGGAAGUAAGAAGAGCUUUCACUUAAGAGAGAGCAUUGUGGACUCACACUUGAGGGGGGUGUUGAGAAUGUAUAAAAUGUAAGUAGUGUGGGUAAUAGUCCCACAUUGGUUGGAAAUAUGGAGACUUGAGCAUUUAUAAGUGAGAGAAUCCACCCACCUAUCACCUUAAGGUUUUGGGUGAAUAUGUGGUGUGCCUCUCACAAAGAUGUUGCUCCAAAAAGAAGAAGUUCAAUAAUGUUCAAUGCUCCAUAGUGAAAAAAGCCCCCAACAGAUUUCUCUUUAAACCUCCAAACUUAUGUUUUCUUCUAAUCAUUUCAAUUAAUUCUAAAUUCCCAGUUAUAACUUUUCCUCGUCUUUUCUUUAUAUAUGAACCAAUUAAACUCGAAUUUAAACCAAAAUGAUUGUCAAAUCAAUCAAAUUUGUUGUCAUUAUUUCACACCACCUUUCAACUUUCUCAUCCGUCUCUCUUUGACACAUCUUCCAUUUUCAACUUUCUUUCCAACCUUCUAUGUUUCUAUCUCACCAAACAAGUCUUUAGAUUUCUCAUUUGAGUUUACUAUCAACUACAUUUUCAACAUUAUCUUCUAGUGCCAAGCUUUCCUAACUCAAGUAAUUUAGGGUUUAUAUAUUCUGUUGCCAAUUUCUUCUUCUCUCUUCUUCAAUUUUUUUGCAAGCGUCACGUACCUCUCGGUUUUAUUAAAUAACUGAGGGAAAUAUGUCCUUAUUUAUGUCGUAUUGUGUUAAUAACAGAGGGUUUUAACCAAUUUUUAUUUAUUUUAAAUUCAAUUUUGACUCACUUGAAUAAUUUUUUUACACCUAACCCCACAAAUUAUGUGACGGAAUCAUAUCAUUGUAUUUUAUACAUAACAUAACACAAAAUAGAAAAUUUACAUUAUUUAUAAAAUCAAAUAUACAAUGUUUACAAUAGUUAUAAUGACAUUUUGGAUACACAAAAACUCUACCAAGAGAACCUAUACAUAUUUGAGCAUAUACAUAUUUACACCUAUAAUGUCAAAACCUCUAUGCAAUGCUAAUAUAUAGAUGUAAAUCAAGAAAAACUAGUGUUUACUAUAUUCAUGAUAAGAUAGGAAGACACUUGCACAACAUGAUCAGAUGUUAUCUAUGUUUUCUCGUGAUAAUGAUGUUUCAUUGCUAAACACUUAUAAUUUAAACAAAAUUUAAAUUAUGAUAAGAUAACAACAACAAUAUUAACUUAACAAAUAUACAUAAAUUACAUGUAUAUGGAUAGUUAAUACCUUAGUCCAUGAAUGGAUAAUUCCUCUGGAGACAAUAUUAAACAUAUGUCUCAUCACAUAGUAUCCACAUUCAUAGUUGUUGGAUUGUUUAUGCGACUACAAAUAAUUUUCAUAUAAUUAAUAAUUAAUACACACAAUGCACAAGUAAUACGUUCGGAAAAAUAAAAUAAAAAAUGUAAAAAAAUACAAGUAGUACUUACAUGGGGUUCUAUGAAAUUUAGCUUUUUACUAGGUAUAUUACGUUUCAUAAAACGGUAUCCCUCCAUAGCUUACAUGUAGGUAAACAUUAUACAUGAAUAAAAGUUAUUCAAAUCAAUAAAAAUUAUUCAAUAUGAAAGGUUUAAUUUGAGUACUACCUUGACUCGGUUGACCUGGAAAAGACAAGCUUAUGUGUGGGAUGUUCAGUGCGAAGAAAGUUUCCAAGAGCUGAAGAAGAGGCUGACGACAUCACCAAUUUUGAUCUUACCAAAUGCGAGUGAAUAUUUUGUUGUAUAUUGUGAUACUUCUAAGAUGGGCUUAGGUAGUGUGCUUAUGAAAAAUGCUCAGGUUAUAGAGUAUUCUUCGAGACAACUAAAGAUUCAUGAGAAGAAUUAUCCUACCCAUGAUUCAGAGUUUGUAGCAAUGGUUUUUAUGCUUAAAGUUUGGAGGCACUAUCUGUACUGUUCAAGCUUUGAAGUUUUCAACAAUCAUAAAAGUUUGAAGUAUUUAUUUGAUCAAAAGGAUCUAAACAUGAAGCAGAGGAGGUGACUAGAAUUUUUAAAGGACUAUGAUUUUGAGUUGAGUUACCAUCCUUGUAAAGCUAAUGUAGUAGUAGUCGCUUUAAGUCAAAAGUCCUUGCAUAUGUCACCACUGAUGGUUAGAGAGAUUGAUUUGAUUGAGAAGUUUAGAGAUCUUAACUUGGUGUGUGAGGUGACACCAAGAAGUGUUAUGUUUGGUAUGCUGAAGUUGACUAGUAGUGUUCUAGAAGAGAUCAGGGAAGGUCAGAAGUUUGUUAGGAUUGAUUGAUCGGUUGGUGUUAAUCAGUCAAGGUAAGAAGGUAGACUUUAUAGUAGAUAAUAAUAUAGUUAUGAGAUUUUGGAACAGAGUUUUUAUGCCAUAUUUUCCAAAGCAUAAGAAGAGAAUUCUUAAAGGAAGCCAAAGUAGUAGUUUGAGUAUUCAUCCCAAAGCUACUAAAAAGCACCAAGAUCUUAAGAAGAUGAUUUGGUGGACAAGUAUGAAGAAGGAUGUCUCUGAGUCUGUGUAUUCUUGCUUGACUUGUCAAAAAUCGAAGAUCGAGCAUCAGAAGUCGUCAGGAUUGAUGCAGCCUUUGAGUAUUCUUGAGUGGGAGCGAGACGACAUCUCUAUGGAUUUUGUGGUGGGUAUUCCAAAGACCAUGAAAGGAAGUGGUCUAAUUUGGGUUGUAGUGGAUAGACUGACUAAGUCGGCGCAUUUUAUUCUGAUAAACAUUAAUUACCCAUUACAGAAGUUGGUCGAGAUCUACAUCAGUGUGAUUGUGAAGCUGCAUGGUAUUCCUUCGAGUAUUGUUUCAGAUAUAGAUCUGAGGUUCACAUCAAGGUUUUAGGGGAGUUUGCAGGAAGCCUUGGGAAUCAAGAUAAGGUUGAGUUCUGAUUACCAUCCGUAGAUGGGCGCUCAGACAGAAAGGAUCAUCUAAUAUUUGGACGACUUGUUGAAGGCUUAUGUCUUAGAGCAGGGAGGCAGUUGGGAUACUUACAUGUCUUUGAUUAGCUUUACCUAUAACAACAGUUUCCAUUCUAGUAUUGGAAUGACACCUUUUGAAGCUCUGUAUGGUAGAAGGUGUAUGACACCUUUAUGUUGGUAUGAAUUAGGAGAGAGUAUUAUGUUUGGACCACAGAUUAUUCAGUAUACUACUCAAAAGAUUAAGAUUAUUCAUGAGAAGAUGAAGGCAUCAUGGAGCAAACAAAAGAUUAAUCAUGAAGUCACUCAAGUUACUAGUAUUGGUCAUGCGUUGAAGUCUUGAAAGCUCACGCCUCAUUUUAUUGGUCUUUAUCAGAUUCUUCAGAGGGUGGGAGAAGUGGAUGCAGCGGCGCGACAGGUGUCGGUCGUUCGACUCGGGUCAACGGGUCGACGAUGGCGUGUUUUGCUGUUUAUUUUAACAAAUUUUAAAUAAUUUUGUGUUUUUGGUGACUGUGUGUUGACAAUAUUAGAAUUAAAGAUAAUUAAUAAUUUAUUAUAUUUAAAGAGCCCUUUGUUGAUUGUGAGGUUAUAGAAUAUUAAUGUUAUUGAAGAAUAUUAUUCUUUUUAUUGUUUUUGGAAUAGCUUUUGUUAUAUGCUCUCCUUUUACUUAUGUUGUGACAAUUUCUUUUAUUUGCUUAAUUACUUUGGACCUCCAUAUACAUGUUGUUUUUGUUCGUACUUUACCAUACUAUUUUGUCUAUCAGUUAAUUACAACCAUUGAUUUGUUAGAGAAAUUUGACUUUUAUUAUAAUCACAUAUAAAGUAACACAAACGGAAGAUUGUGAUGAAUUGACAGUAUAAAUAUUUUUACACUGACAGUGUAUAACAAUUAAUCUCAUUAUUAAUAAUAUUUUGUCACUAAAAAAACAAAUUGCAAUUUAAUAUUAAUUAUAAAUUUUAAUAAUGCUUUUAAAUAUUGUACAGAUAAAUUAAUAAAAUACAUUAGUAAGUGAUUAAGGAUAUAAUAAGAAAAAAAAAACGAUGAUAUUAAAAUUGACACACUUUAUUACAUUUCCCCAUUUUAAAUUAUUUUUAAAGAUUUAUUUUGUGCUUGUUAAAUCACUCGUGAGUUUGUCAUUAUUCAAUCAAACAUCAAACUUUAAUAUAUACUAAAAAAAAUAAUGUAAGUCCGAGACCCAAAAUAUGAAACCUCAUACAAUAAGAUGUGAGGUUAUUAUUUAUUAAAUUUCCUUAAUUAUAAGCAAUCAUCUUGACUUAUAAAAAUGUCAUUAUUCAGAUGCUCAUUUAAUCCACAAACUAUACAACAUGAGCAGGUGUGUGUAUUAACAGUAGUGUCACAUCUACAACGACGAGCCUGAGCACCUUUAAACCUUGCAUUAAAUUCAGCAUUGCAGUCACGUUGUGCAUGCAGAC